GAGGAGCCACUGCUCCUGGACCGCAGUUGACUGUGGGUAACUGAAACCUCUGAGAGCAAAACCAAACUGCAGAUAAGAGGGAACGGCUGCUAUUGUGUGCCUAACGUCAUGCUUGGAGCCUUAGCGAAUGUGGAAGAAAUAAAGUAAGACACUUCCAAGCCUGAUAGACGGCACUUCAUCUCCUGUGGCCACCAUGCACAAAAAUCCUAACCCUUCUUUAAAGACCCAACUUGAGAGAGUCCUACUUCCUUCAAAACUUUCUGUGACCAUUUCAGUACUCAGAGCUGGGUCCUUGCUCUGAGUUCCUGAAGUCCCGUUUGUAUAGCAAAAUUCACGUGCCCCACAUAGGUUCAGAAGAAAGAGUUUGUGCAGCUUGCCAAUCCUUAUAAAUCAGGCCACAGGCACAGUUAAAUCAUGACACUUUCUACAAGAGCACAGAGGAACUUAAAAUCAGUCCAUACUUCAUACAAACUCAUAGGAUGCUAGUGAUUGCUGUCAGCUACCAGUGCAAUGGGAGGUCAACCUGAGAUGUCUCAAUAUUUUAUUCUACUCUGGAAUUUGUUCCAACAAUUGUCUCUCCAGGAUUGUUUACCCCAGGAUUAAAUAAACUGUAGAAGAUUAAACUAUAGAGCUACUCAGCACAUUUAAUAAAUUUCUCCUGAGAGAACUUCCUCAGUAAAUCACUUACACAAGAACCCCUGUCUUAAGCUCUGCUUCUAUGGAUACUGAUCCAAGACAGAAGAGUAUGGAAAUACUGGAGUAACUGACAGAAAAGGGAACUUAAGAGAAGGGUGCUAAUUUGGAUUUGUUUCAUAAAUACUAUCAAUCCUUACCAGUAUAGUCUGAAUUCUCUUGGAUCACCCAUCACACAGGAUGCACCCUGCAUGCGUGCACACAGCCACUGGAGGCAACUUUGAGAUACUGAAGAAGUAAGGCAUCUUUCAAAUACAUUUGAUCUAAAAUUGACUUUCUGAUAUCACUUCUUUAACUAGGGACCCAAAGGCCCAUUGAACUAGUCCUAAAUGCAUUUUAUUGAGUGACCCAAAUUUUAAGAUCUAAGUACUUUGCAGAUAGAGAAUGGAGAACCCAUGAACACCUAGGGAUCAGCAAAACAUCCCCAACAAUUUUCCAAGUGUUUUAUUUUUGGCAAAACUCAAUUUAACUCAUUUUGCAAGCACUCUUCCCUCCAGUUUUUAAACCCAUGGGUCUUUCAAAGGAAAUUUAAUCCAUAUGUUUCUGAUUCAUUUACAUUUUAAGUCAUAAAAAUGUUAUUUUUAUAAGAGCUGUUUGAUAUCCAAGAAACUUUCUGAGCCUUUUAAAAAAUCUCUUUAAAGUCUUGUUGGUUGGAGCCAGGGAGCAGACAUGGUGUGUGAUGCACCACCCGAAAAUGUGAUCCAGACACUCAACCAUAGACUGACCUCAGAACAAUGCUUGCCACACUGAGCCAAAAAAAUAAUGGCAACGAGAUGAUCAAGAAAGUUGGUCUGGACACCAGAGAAUCCUUAAGAAACACAAAAGAAGCCAAUGGCAAAUGAUAGCAAAGGUUAAAGUAGUAUUCAUCAGUGUGUCAUUGAUGUGUUUGGGCAUAUAAGGACCAGACUUUCAUACGUUACAGCAAGCUAUCAUUUCUGGCAGCUUUCAGGAAGAUCUGCAGGCUUCUUCAGGACAAAGUCCAGUAUCAUCACCCAAAUAUUUUAUGUGAAGAAAAUCGUGCCUUUUCUCAGUAUUGCAUAUAAUAGUAAAACAU